ACCUAGUCCCACCACACCCCCAAGGGUAUUCAGCAGUGAUAGAUAUUGUCUAUAAGCGCUAGCUUGACCCAGUUAUAGAGAAGAGAGCCGGCCAACUUGGUGCCAGCCGCCGCGGCUAGACCAACUGGACUCAAAUUGAUAAUCCCCGGCGUUAAGCGUGAUUAGAGCCAUGAACAAAUUAGAGUUAAACCUACGUUGAGCAGUGAAAAGCACACGAUAGGGAAAUCCAAAAACGAAAGUUAUUCUAAUCCUUGCUUGAAUACACGACAGCUAGGGCACAAACUGGGAUUAGAUACCCCACUAUGCCUAGCCGUAAACUAUUAACCUACACCCACCCGCGCCAGGGAACUACGAGCUUUAGCUUAAAACCCAAAGGACUUGACGGUGUCCCACCCAACUAGAGGAGCCUGUUCUAUAAUCGAUGACCCCCGCUCCACCCAACCCCCCCUUGCUUUAUCAGCCUGUAUACCUCCGUCGUAAACCCGCCGUAUGAAUGUACCCAAGCGGAUUUAAUGGUUCCACACCAACACGUCAGGUCAAGGUGCAGCCAAUGGGAGAGGUAAGUGAUGGGCUACAAUUUCUAGUCUAGAACAAACGAAAUUCUGCAUGAAACACAGUUAUGAAGGAGGAUUUAGUAGUAAAAAGAAAGUAGCGUGUUCUUUUUAACAUGGCCCUGGGACGUGUACACA
rnacentral:rRNA from 1 species